AUUGAACGCUGGCGGCAGGCCUAACACAUGCAAGUCGCACGAGUGGCGGACGGGUGAGUAAUGUCUGGGAAACUGCCUGAUGGCGGGGGGUAACCACUGGAAACGGUAGCUAAUACCCCAUCCCAUCAGAUGUGCCCAGAUGGGUUUAGCUUGUUGGUGGGGUAACGGCUCAGCACGCCGUCGAUCCCUACCUAAUCUGAGAGGAUGACCAGCCACAAUGGAACUGAGACACGGUCCAGACUCCUACGGGAGGCAGCAGUGGGAAAUAUUGCACAAUGGGCACAAGCCUGAUGCAGCCAUGCCGCGUGUAUGAAGAAGGCCUUCGGGUUGUAAAGUACUUUCAGCGGGGAGGCGUUACCCGCAGAAGAAGCACCGGCUAACUCCGUGCAAGCAGCCGCGGUAAUAC
rnacentral:rRNA from 1 species